AAUGAAUGAUGACAAAAUGUUUCGGUCCCAAAUGAAUUAUACUGAUUUCACCGUUACAUGUAUUCUGACAUU